AACGAACGCUGGCGGCAGGCCUAACACAUGCAAGUCGAACGCUCCAGCAAUGGAGAGUGGCAGACGGGUGAGUAACACGUGGGAACCUUCCCUUUGGUUCGGAAUAGCCCAGGGAAACUUGGGGUAAUACCGGAUAAGCCCUUACGGGGAAAGAUUUAUCGCCGAAGGAUGGGCCCGCGUCGGAUUAGCUAGUUGGUGGGGUAACGGCCUACCAAGGCGACGAUCCGUAGCUGGUCUGAGAGGAUGAUCAGCCACACUGGGACUGAGACACGGCCCAGACUCCUACGGGAGGCAGCAGUGGGGAAUAUUGGACAAUGGGCGCAAGCCUGAUCCAGCCAUGCCGCAUGAGUGACGAAGGUCUUCGGAUUGUAAAGCUCUUUUGGCGGGGACGAUAAUGACGGUACCCGCAGAAUAAGCCCCGGCUAACUUCGUGCCAGCAGCCGCAGUAACAC
rnacentral:rRNA from 1 species